GGAUUGUGGCUCAGUGGUAGAGCGCUUGUCUAGCAUGCAUGAGACACUGGGUUCAAUCCCCGUCACCA
rnacentral:tRNA from 1 species